rnacentral:rRNA from 1 species
GAUGAACGCUAGCGGCAGGCUUAACACAUGCAAGUCGAGGGGCAGCAUGAAGGUUAGCAAUAACCUUUGAUGGCGACCGGCGCAAGGGUGCCGUAACGCGUGAGCAACCUUGCCCGUUUCUGGGGAAUAACCCGGUGGAAACGCCGACUAAUACCCCAUGGCAUCAGAAUGAGGCAUCUCAAUCUGAUUAAAGAAUUUCGGAAACGGAUAGGCUCGCGUGACAUUAGCUAGAUGGCGGGGUAACGGCCCGACCAUGGCAACGAUCAGUAGCCGGUCUGAGAGGAUGAACGGCCACAUUGGGACUGAGAUACGGCCCAGACUCCUA